rnacentral:rRNA from 1 species
GUCGAGAAUCUUUCACAAUGGGGGCAACCCUGAUGGAGCGACGCCGCGUGGAGGAUAAGGUCUUCGGAUUGUAAACUCCUGUCAUGCGUGAACAAGGUUGCUUGGUUAAUACCUGGGCAAAUUGAUGGUAACGCAAGAGGAAGAGACGGCUAACUCUGUGCCAGCAGCCGCGGUAAUACAGAGGUCUCAAGCGUUGUUCGGAAUCACUGGGCGUAAAGGGUGCGUAGGUGGCGUGGUAAGUCAGAUGUGAAAGCCCGGGGCUCAACCUCGGAACUGCGUCCGAUACUGCCAUGCUAGAGUACUGGAGAGGUGACUAGAAUUCUCGGUGUAGCAGUGAAAUGCGUAGAUAUCGAGAGGAAUAUCAAAGGCGUAGGCAGGUCACUGGACAGUUACUGACACUGAGGCACGAAGGCCAGGGGAGCGAACGGGAUUAGAAACCCCUGUAGUCC